rnacentral:misc_RNA from 1 species
UCAUCUGGAAUUACCUUUUCAAAUCUGAAUCUUUUCACCAAGUUGUGCAUAAAAACAAGUAUUUCCAAUCGAGCAUACUCUUUUCCAGGGCACAUUCUUGGUCCUCCACCAAAUGGCACGAAGGUGUAAGGAGCUGGUCCUUUCCCUUCAAAUCUGCUGGGAUCAAAUUUUUCAGGUUCUGAGAAGUACUCUGGAUUCUUAUGGGUUGAGUUUGCACUCCAAUACAGCUUCCAGCCUCUUGGAAUAGAAAAACCAUUGAAGAUGAAAUCAGUGAUGGCUUCCCUGAAAGCACCUUGAACAGGAGGAGCAAGUCUCAUUACUUCACAAGCCACGUUCCAUGAAUAUUUCAUUUUUUGAAUGUCAUCCCAGUUCAGCAACUCUCCUUCCUCUUUUGUUUUAGCAAUCUCCAUUUGCUCCUUGUAAACUUCCUGGAAAAUGUGCGGGAGUUCAGAGAGAUACUUGACAAUGAAAGUGCAAGCAGCACUAGCAGUAUCAUGUCCACCAAUCAACAAUCCAAGAAUCUUGUCUGCAAUAUCCCUUUCAUUCAUGAACUCUCCAUUCUCAUCACUUGUAUUCAACAUAUGAGACAAAAUAUCUUGUGUAUUCGAUGCCUUUCCUAUUGCAAGAUCAAUCUUUCUUUGCUUGAUGAUGCCCAGAAGCUCCUUCCUUAUAAGCUGUGAGGCCUUGAUAGCUCUUCGAAAGGGUGUUCCAGGAAAAUCAAUGGGAAUGGAAAUGAUUCCUGAGGCCAAGACCUGAAAAGGGUCUGAAAAUUUAGCUAUGUGGGCAGGAUCUUCCACGCUUACAAAGAGACGACAGGCUAACCAGAAGGUGAAAUUCUUUGCCAGAGGGAACACAACCACUUCAUCUUUAUUCUCCCACCCCGAGGCAAAGUGCCUCUGCGCGAUUGUAUCCAUGAUACCUAUAUAUCGCUGCAAAGCCUCAGGUUUGAAGAACUGAGGAAGAAGCUUUCUCAUUUUCUUGGCUUCUUCGUUGGAAGAAGUCUGUAGAGAAGAAGGAAAUACUUUGUUCACAGAAUCAGGCCACCAGGCUACAACAAGCUUGUUCUCAUUGGAGAACAUGAACUUGUUACCUGCAGCCCCGCAAAGCACAGCUGCAGGGUGGCCAAGGAGAUUAGUUUUGAAAACAUCAGAGGAGUAUUUAGUUUUCCGAUCAAAGACAAACUUUUCAGGGUGACCUUUCCAACCUGUGGACAAGAAAUCCAGGCUCUCUCCCACAUAGGGAAGGCCUGGUUUCCCUGGAGGAAGGUUAGGGUACUUGUAUUGGGAGAUGUGCUUGUAGAAAAGGAAAAAGAGAGAGAGUGUGAUAAAGGACAUGAAGAGGAGAAGAAGGGUGAGGUAGUAAUGGUCCAUUUUUGCUUUCUUUUUUU